AGGCCGCAUCGAUCGCAGGGGGAUAGACGACAAGCACGUGAUCUGGCUGUUUCUGCUGCUAUCAAGCGUACAAGAAUAUCGAAUCUCUCUAUUCAUGUAUAACUGCCGAUAGCAUAUGACUACGGGAGAAUAAAAGAGAACAAACUAGACGUACAGAUAUUGGUCGGACGCGGCGCAAUGGAGUGCGGCAAGUAACCUGCGCGCAAUCGCAGCUGCAGGAAAUAAAAGCAAUAGUGAAGCUUGACGGUCACCGGGCGUCGUUCGUAACGACGCAGACUGGGCAGCCGGACGUG